GCUCAGGUCUAUGCCAUGUUGUGCUUCUGUUUUGAUUCCCAAUAACAUGUGCCAUAUGUCAUGCUCGCUCACCUCAUGGACGACUUUCCUGCUCCCAGACUCCACUCCAGCAGUUCCCACGCCGGCAACUGGGACUCCGCCCCCUUUUAUGACGCGGCACGUGCACGCCAACGUCAUGACGUGGUGCACAUGCCGACUUCAUACCGCCGAUGAUGUCAC